rnacentral:rRNA from 1 species
CCUACGGGCGUCAGCAGUGAGGAAUAUUGGUCAAUGGAUGGAAGUCUGAACCAGCCAUGCCGCGUGCAGGAAGCCGGCUCUAUGAGUUGUAGACUGCUUUUGUACAAGGGUAAACCUGAAUACGUGUAUUCAGCUGACAGUACUGUACGAAUAAGGAUCGGCUAACUCCGUGCCAGCAGCCGCGGUAAUCCGGAGGAUCCAAGCGUUAUCCGGAUUUAUUGGGUUUAAAGGGUGCGUAGGCGGAUUGAUAAGUUAGCGGUGAAAUGUCCGAGCUUAACUCGGGAACUGCCUCUAAUACUGUUGAGCUAGAGAGUAGAUGCGGUAGGCGGAAUGUAUGGGGUAGCGGUGAAAUGCUUAGAGAUCAGACAGAACACCGAUUGCGAAGGCAGCUUACCAAGCUAUAUCUGACGUUGAGGCACGAAAGCGUGGGGAGCAAACAGGAUUAGAUACCCGGGUAGUC